UUUUUAAUAUAGUUUUUCACGGCUCUGGGUGCAUGCCCUUUUAAGCCAGUCUUUGAAGUCCGUUGAACUUUUGUUUGAAUUUGACACAUGACAACUGUGUUUGACACUUCACUUCACUGAUUCACUGUGAUUCACUGAUAUUUACUUAGUUUUUACUCUUCUCAAUUUCUCAAAUAGUUCCCAGAGUUGAAACCACGAAAGUAUAUAUGGGUUUGAAAAGUUUCGGAUCCUUGAGGAGUUCGUCCAACGACUGUGGUACACGUUCACAAAUAGAUUGAAGGUCAUCGAUCAUGACCAGUCUCUGGAUUCCAAAACUUCUACAUUUCAGGAUUAUGUGCUCCAUAUCGGCAAGCUCUUCAUUGCAAUAUGUACAUUCAGCGCUCGGAAUCAAAUUAAGCCUCUUCAGGUGAGUGGGAGCGUGGCAAUGGCCAAAUCUCAGCCUAUUUAUUAUGGUUAUGAACUUCCUGUUAUCUAUAUUCUCAUUCCUCCGAUGGUACCAAGGUUUGGCGGGCGGGCUUCCUUGGAUCUUAGCAUACCAUUUUCCCUUUUCCAUACUAGUAAUAGUCCAGUACUCAUGCCAAAUCUUUUUCAGGUCUUGAUUGAUUGCGGCUUGAUAGUCAGUGUGAGGUAACUUCAACAACGUAGAAUGGUCAACAUCAAAGCCAUCCCUUGCAGCCAGAUCAACAAUUUCAUUCCCCCUGAUGCCACGGUGUGAUGGUACCCAAAGGAAGAGCAGUGUCUUACCAACUACCCCGGGUACUCCAAUAUCACAUAAGAUGGCUAUUAAAAUUGAGGGGACCACGUUAUCGAACGCGCCCUGUACAUCAAGGAAGACACAAGCUGUAGCAGAGUGACCGUCAAGAGAAUUCCUAAGGUCUGAGACCAAUGCUGUAAAACUUUCUGCUGCACUUCGGCCUUUUCUAAAUCCGAAUUGUUCAUUUGGAGGAGAUACAGGGGAAUAUUUCUCAAAAAAAGAGGGAAUCCAUUCAUCAUUCUUCGGCAGUUUAGGAAUUGAAACACGCUUAAACCUCUUCAUAUAGUUCCAUACUGUACUAACAGGAGUAUAUCGAUUAAAAGAUUCACAUAAAGAUUU